UAACAACCCCUCCCUAAGAAGAUCCGUCACACGACUGAUAGCAAGUGAGAUAGGAGAAUAAAACUGUGUGGAAAUAAAUCAAUAACUAAAGGCUUUGCUUAGUGGAAGAUCUGGAAAGGAAAUGAAAGGCUUUUGGAUGAUGCAGUUCUAAUUGAGAACCGCCAUUAUGAGCAGGCUUUGUUGCAGGAUUUACGGUCAAGGGGGAGAGGAAGCCACGGCUUUGUUAUCAUAUCUGAAUUUUACGUUUGAUCUGGCAAGAACUCCCCUGAAAAGACUGAUGUAUGGAGCAACAGGUCUGGGAAAGUUAAUGAGCAGACGCCUAGACUGUAUUUUAUGGGACUUGCUGAAAUGGCGUCUGCCGUUUGAACAGGACUUUUGGAUUAGUGUGAAAAUCCACAUAGGACUAUAAUAAUGUUUGUUUCAACUCGCUUGUGGAGAUAAUCUCAGAGGUUAUAAAGAAGGAGAAAAAAAUGAUAACAAUAAGAAGAUUAGAAGACGGGAUUUGUAAAGGAUAACAACAAAGAGAUGGAAAGAUGGGACUUGUGAACAUCAAAGCAGCACAAAUAUGAGAGGAUUGGACCCUUUCUGAGCUCGAAGCAUGGGUACCCCCAACAAAAAUUUAAAAUUUGGUUAAAUAUUUGGAUAUAUUUGGAGUUUAUUAUGUAAUGGUAUAAUUUGGAAUUAAUGUGAUAUGAUUGGUUUGUCAAUUGGAAAUU